GGGACGGGUGUCGGUGUGGCACCAGUGCGCGCUGAAGGAGCCGGCGGAACGGGGUGGUCAUGGGGAUGUGGGCGCCGCUGGACGCGAUGUGGGAGAUGUCGGCCGAGAAGCGUAUCUUCGGGGCCGUGUUGCUCUUCUCCUGGACACUGUAUCUUUGGGAGACCUUCCUAGCACGGCGGCAGAGACGGAUAUAUAAAACAACAACUCAUGUACCACUGGAGUUAGGACAGAUCAUGGAUUCAGAAACAUUUGAGAAAUCUCGACUGUAUCAGCUGGAUAAAAGUACUUUCAGCUUCUGGUCAGGACUCUAUUCAGAGAUUGAAGGCACUCUUAUUCUUCUCUUUGGAGGAAUCCCUUAUCUCUGGAGACUCUCUGGGAGGUUCUGUGGCUAUGCUGGCUUUGGACCAGAAUAUGAGAUCACUCAGUCCUUGGUGUUUCUACUGUUGGCUACACUUUUCAGUGCAUUGACUGGUUUGCCGUGGAGUCUUUAUAAUACUUUUGUGAUAGAAGAAAAACAUGGUUUCAAUCAGCAGACUUUGGGGUUCUUUAUGAAAGAUGCAAUCAAGAAAUUUAUUGUGACUCAGUGCAUUUUAUUACCUGUGUCUUCACUUCUACUUUAUAUUAUUAAAAUUGGGGGAGACUAUUUUUUUAUUUAUGCCUGGCUGUUCACACUAGUUGUGUCUCUGGUGCUUGUCACCAUCUAUGCUGAUUACAUUGCCCCUUUAUUUGACAAAUUCACACCUCUUCCUGAGGGAGAGCUUAAACAAGAAAUUGAAAUCAUGGCAAAGAGUAUUGACUUCCCUUUGACUAAGGUGUAUGUUGUUCAAGGAUCUAAACGCUCUUCCCACAGCAAUGCUUAUUUUUAUGGCUUCUUCAAGAACAAGCGAAUAGUUUUGUUUGACACUCUACUAGAAGAGUAUUCUGUACUAAACAAAGACAUCCAGGAGGAGUCUGGCAUGGAACCCCGCAAUGAUGGAGAAGGGGACAGUGAAGAAAUAAAAGCUAAAGUUAAAAAUAAGAAACAAGGAUGUAAAAAUGAGGAAGUGCUUGCUGUGCUAGGCCAUGAACUGGGGCACUGGAAGUUGGGACACACAGUCAAAAAUAUCAUUAUUAGCCAGAUGAAUUCUUUCCUGUGUUUUUUCUUGUUUGCUGUAUUAAUUGGUCGAAAGGAGCUUUUUGCUGCAUUUGGUUUUUAUGACAGCCAACCCACUCUAAUUGGACUAUUGAUCAUCUUCCAGUUUAUUUUUUCACCUUAUAAUGAGGUUCUUUCUUUUUGCCUAACAGUCCUAAGCCGCAGAUUUGAAUUUCAAGCUGAUGCAUUUGCCAAGAAACUUGGGAAGGCUAAAGACUUAUAUUCUGCUUUAAUCAAACUAAACAAAGAUAACUUGGGUUUCCCUGUUUCUGACUGGUUGUUUUCUAUGUGGCAUUAUUCUCAUCCUCCACUACUAGAGAGACUUCAGGCUUUGAAAAAUUCAAAACAAGACUGAGUUGCCCAGGGUCUGCAACUGAAGACAUUUCUGAUUAUUUCUGUCCUGGCAGCAUGGAAGCCCUCUUGAUGUUUUUAAACAUUUUUUUUAAAGAAAAAUUAUUAAGUAUGGAAAAACCAAGAUUUAAAUACAUUUAAUAUCUCAUUUCAAAAAUGAUUUUAAUAAUCCAUUUCUUUAAGAAAACACUGGAUGAAAUUUUGAGGCUUCAUGUUUUUAAAGGCAUAGUUUUAUCUUUAAAAUCUUGUUUACCAUCAACUUGUAAAAUUACUUGAGAAAAUACAGAACUUGUUUUAUUUACAUGCUUACAUGGAACCUGCAUAUAAGGGGUUUGGGGACAUAUGUUUAAAAGGGAAUACCACCUCUGAAUCCUCUCUGUAAGCCAGACACAGUGGUCCUGAAUCACUGUGUGCUCAUACCUAAGUUGAGAGUUAUUUUUACUUUCAUGCUGUAAUGAUUUAAGCUGGCCAAUCAGUGUUUUAAAUAAGGAAGAAAGAUAAUAAUUGGUAAGGCUGAUGUUUUGUAAAUGAAAGUAGUUAGAAAUAUGCUCUCUCCUGUUCUAUCAAAUUUCUCUGUUCCCUUUCUUUCUAUACACUGAUCAGGAGUUUCUAAUAAUGCUUUGAAAUUAGUAAUUAUGUACAGAAUGUUUUAAAUCACUGGGUUUUGGUUUUGUUUUUAAGCAAGUCUUUUUCUUUCCACCUGGUGGGUAUGAUCCCAUUAGAGGUAAACGAGUAUUUUUCUAAACAUUCAGCUUUUUCUCAUUCAUACUCUUGUAUUCAAUAAAUAGUGCAUCCUUUAACUUAGCAGAAAUUGCCAUGUUGAACAGGCUUUGCUAUUUUAAAAAUGGGAGAAUGUGGAAAGAAGAAGAAAUGACAUUUUAAGAGAUAUAAGAUUGAAAUACUGAUGAUUCUCUUAUGAUGUUACAGGAAGAAAUUUAAUUUUCUAUCUCUUUCAAGGACAGAAGAGUUUCUGUUUUUAUUUUUCUAAUUUUUAUCAGUAAGUCAUAAGUGCUAUUUAAUCAGGCCUGAUUCCAUUUUAGAAAAUUAUAGUUCUUGAUAUGCAGACAAUUUUUAUUUUCAAAACAAAUGUCAUGAAAGAUUUCCAGUUUUUGAAGCUGCAUGUUUGACUGAUUCAAAUCUCUGUCCACUUUCUGAAUGAGACCCAACUUUGUGCCUAGAGCUCCCACCCACUGGUGAUGUGUACCUUCUGGGCAUUUAUUCCAAAGUGGGAUCAACUGUGC